GAUGAACGCUGGCGGCGUGCCUAAUACAUGCAAGUCGAGCGAACAGACGAGGAGCUUGCUCCUCUGACGUUAGCGGCGGACGGGUGAGUAACACGUGGAUAACCUACCUAUAAGACUGGGAUAACUUCGGGAAACCGGAGCUAAUACCGGAUAAUAUAUUGAACCGCAUGGUUCAAUAGUGAAAGACGGUUUUGCUGUCACUUAUAGAUGGAUCCGCGCCGCAUUAGCUAGUUGGUAAGGUAACGGCUUACCAAGGCAACGAUGCGUAGCCGACCUGAGAGGGUGAUCGGCCACACUGGAAGUGAGACACGGCCCAGACUCCUACGGGAGGCAGCAGUAGGGAAUCUUCCGCAAUGGGCGAAAGCCUGACGGAGCAACGCCGCGUGAGUGAUGAAGGUCUUCGGAUCGUAAAACUCUGUUAUUAGGGAAGAACAAAUGUGUAAGUAACUAUGCACGUCUUGACGGUACCUAAUCAGAAAGCCACGGCUAACUACGUG
rnacentral:rRNA from 1 species